rnacentral:tRNA from 1 species
UUCCUGGUGGCUCAGUGGUAAAGAAUCUGCCUUGCAAUGCAGGAGACACAGGUUUGAUUCCUGAUUUGGGAA